rnacentral:rRNA from 1 species
AAUGAACGCUGGCGGCAGGCUUAACACAUGCAAGUCGAGCGCCCCGCCAGGGGAGCGGCAGACGGGUGGGUAGCGCGUGGGAACGUACAUUUUGGUUUGGCACAACUUCGGGAUACUGGUGCCAUUACCGGAUAAGCCCUAACGGGGGAAGAUUUAUCGCCGAACGAUCGGCCCGCGUCUGAUUUGCUGGUUGGUGAGGUGACGGCUCACCAAGGCGACGAUCAGUAGCUGGUCUGAGAGGAUGACCAGCCACACUGGGACUGAGACACGGCCCAGACUCGGACGGGAGGGAGCAGUGGGGAAUAUUAGACAAGGGGCGCAAGCGUGAUCCAGCCAUGCCGCGGGAGUGGUGAAGGCCGUAGGGUUGUAAAGCUCUUUUGUCCGGGAAGAUAAUGACGGUACCGGAAGAAUAAGCCCCGGCUAACUUCGUG